UUGCGUAGUCCAUGGUGGGGGGGGGGGAGGAGGACCAGACAAACUAGGGUUUUGAAAACUCUGACCAAAACAGCAGCACAGUUCAGAAGGACAGUUAUAGUACUCUGGGUCACUGGAGCAGGGAAGCUGAACUCUUGCCACAGAAGGUGAGAGUCGGAAGUAUCCACAGCUUCCCUUGAGUGUGUCUGCCAACUUUCCUGUUCCCUUAAGUGUGCCGUGAUUUCGACACCGCCUCUUCCACCGCUGUUUUGACGGCUCUUUUCUUUUCCCUCCAGAGAGGCCCCCCAGGUCCACAAGGCCCUCCAGGCCCCCCUGGGCCCCCAGGAGUUCCUGGCAUCGAUGGCAUAGAUGGUGACAGAGGCCCUAAUGGGCCACCAGGCCCUCCGGUAAGUGGCUGAUAGCACUUUGUGUGUUUUAGUCAAAUAUUGCAUGUGGAAUAGCUUAUCUUCUCUGCCUACAUCUAUGGUCUUAAUUUAUCAGUACCUAAAUGCUUCCUGCAGGGUCCAGAUGGCGAUUCAGGUAAACCAGGUGUCCCUGGAAAACCAGGAAUACCAGGAGCUGAUGGACUGACAGGUCCUGAUGGAUCACCAGGUCCAGCUGGUCCGAAAGGACAAAAGGUGACUAAAACCCAUUAUUAGAUUUUCUUUCAGUUUUUCAAGCUUGGG
rnacentral:lncRNA from 1 species